rnacentral:rRNA from 1 species
GUGCCAGCCGCCGCGGUAACACCGGCAGCCCGAGUGAUGGCCGAUAUUAUUGGGCCUAAAGCGUCCGUAGCUGGCCGAGCAAGUUCGUCGGGAAAUCCACGCGCCUAACGUGUGGGCGUCCGGCGAAAACUGUUCGGCUUGGGACCGGAAGACCCGAGGGGUACGUCCGGGGUAGGAGUGAAAUCCCGUAAUCCCGCACGGACCACCGAUGGCGAAAGCACUUCGAGAAAACGGAUCCGACAGUGAGGGACGAAAGCCAGGGUCUCCAACCGGAUUAGAUACCCGAGUAGUCC